UUAACCAGUAUAAGCAAUUUAGUUGGCUGAGAGCUGGGUUAGAUUCAGCUGCAGAUUCUGCAACUGUGCUCUAAGACUUGUCACCUGAACAAGUUGUGGGCAGAAGUAUCACUUUCCAUUCAGACUCAGAGCCUGAAGUUUGAUCUAGUUCUUCACGAUGUUCAGGAUUUUUUUCUAGAUUUUGUGCAUCAAGUCCAAUUAGAAGAGGACAGGAAUAAGAUCAGAUUAAUGCUGUUGUCUCAACCAUCAGAAGAGCAUUAAGGCAAACUCCUGGGCUACCUGACAGCUCUUGGCAACAGAGGAGUCAGUAGCAGCAGUGCUUACAGAAGUUACCACUGCUGGAUGAAGGGAGGUCAUGCUGCUUUAGCACUGAAAAAUGCUGAGACCAGUCUGGCUCAUCAAUCCAAAAGUUAAAUGCUCUGAGGAAGAAGAACAUUCCCUGAAGCUGGCACCAGUGAGCACGUGGCAGAGGAAGUUCCUGAUAAAGCAACCAACAAGUUGUAAUGCUGAUAAUUUAUCUAAAGCUGCUGAGCUGGCACAGGACUGCCAACCACUUCAUAUUAUGAAACCUCUGUCCCACUUUUUAACUUGGAGUUUGUGUGGAGAUUCCCCCCUUGAGUGGGGAUCCCUUUCCAGGUUAGUCCUUGAGCCUGGUCAAAAGAGAUUAGCUCAUGGUCAUUGGUAUGGCUGUGUAACAUAAAUCUCUGCAUAAUUACUUUGCUGACUUUGAUAUCAUGACUUGGAUACUGCUUCAAUAACACUAUAUUAGUAGCUGUAGUUAUCUAUACUGUGUAGUAAAUAAUACUGAUUAAUAUAUUCUAGUGUAAUCAUUAUCAUCAUCCAUUUAAAUAGAUAAUUAAUUCUAUUCACAUGAAUAUAUAUGAUUUGUCAUCCUUAAUCCUAUGUGAUAAAGUCAAGCAAAGGCUCAGGCCUAUAAAGUUCUUUAGACAUGAACUGUUUUCUAAGUCUGGGGCUAAGAUAGGAUCAUUUGAAUUAUUCUGACUUAAACUCAUUAAGAAAAAGAUGCAACUCAGCCAAUAUUUCCCAGAUACGUAUAAAAUAUUUUGAUUUCCCCUCCCCCCCUUUGCCAAAUUGCACAUCCACACACAAUUCAGGCAAAAGAGCACCCCAUAUUCAUCAACAGACCCAGUAUUCUCACUGUUUUCAGUAGUUUUUUGACUGGGUCAGAGGAGGCUAUUGUGGAAAUAAUUAAAAAACUUUUAUUUGACAGAAUUAUUUAAUUGUUAAAACAUGGAUACAAUAAACAGAUGGGAACAUAAAGAAGUUAAUGGAAAUAAUUAGGGAAACUAAAUACAAGCAAAGGCUGAACUGGAGAUGGCAUUAUGGAGGGCCAAAAAGAAAUAAAACUUUAGAGAGGUGGUUGGAGAAGAACUGCAACCCUGGUAAAACCAGAAUAAUACAGAGACACUGCAAUAUUUAGUGGUGAAAAAUCAAGGGAGAUGUGAUAGGCCAGCAAUUUAUAACACCAUUAUACUUGUGAAGAAUCAGCUAAAGUUUCUGUAGACAUGCACAGAGAGACACACAGACAGACACACAGACAGAGGCACACUAGAUAUUCUAGCAUUUGGCAUGAGGCACUCAAGCUACUUGUAAAAAGCAAAAAGCACAAGGGAAACAUUAAAAACACUUUCCCAUAGAUAAAAGGUUUUUAGAGUCUCCACACUUAGAGUGAGAAUAUCUGAGACAUUUCCCUGGAUCUUCUAGAGGUUUGUUGAGUGGGUUAUUAAAGCUCACAAACAUCACAGAAUUAGGAUGAUACUACU